GCAAGUUUUUGGAUUAUGGCCAGUGGAAAGAAAGCAUGCCAGACAGCUAAUGGGAGGGUAAAUGCUGGAGGGGCUCCAAUUUGGAAGUGUUACAUUAUCAAGUUAAAUCAUAAGAGCAAUUUAUAAAAGAGAUAGCUUGGAAUUAAACUACAAAAGCUGCUUAAGGUAAAAUAUGCGAGGGAACUCUCUUGUUGCCAUUGUGAGACCCUGGAGAACAGAUGGAACCAACUCUCAA
rnacentral:lncRNA from 10 species